GUUGUUGAUAGUUGUGUCUCGUAAUAGAGUGAAUGUUGAUACAGUUGAAAAAUUCAGUUGAAAAAAACGGUGUAUGAGAGAAGAAGCACGUUUCAUGUGGAUCUUACUGAUUGCUGAUGGGAAAUACUGCGCGUUCAGUAUAACAGACUGGUAACUAGGUUGCAAUUUCAGGGCAGCCUGAGAUAUAGCUGAGAUGCGUCUGUGUUUUGUUUUGUUUUGUUUCCGUUUUCUUUUAGUGAGUUUGCUGUCAUGGAGGAUAGUGAGAGCAAUUCAUAUUACCAAUGAAUUGAAAGCUUCAAUGAAGACUUCGCUGACGAAUUCUAAAACCUUUUUAUUCACCUCACACAUCAACUUACAAGCAUAGAGCCUCUCUUCCUUUCAUAGUGACUUCUGCUCCCUACAAUUUGAGAUGUUAUAGAUACUGUUGUGUACUACAACGCCUCCACAGUGUCGAACAGGUUAGUUACUGAGACCCUUUGAGUUGUCGAGGGCAAAACAGACAGUUCAUAUUUUCUGAAGGAGGCAUCUGACUUUUGUUUCAUCAACUACGGCAACAUUAGAAUCGUUAGACACGGUCAAAAUCUUUACUCUCGUGAAUCUAAAGAGUUAGCGAAACCUUUAUUGAAGCAGAGCGAUAUCAUGAGAUUUAUCAGAUAUUCCUUAUGCCAAAUUGCUCUACAAGGAAAACAGACCUGAUGAAGUCAUAAAUUUGAUUCUAUGAAGUCCCUACUCAUAUAGUUCUCUUCGAAAGAAUGUUUCGGUGACCAGAUU
rnacentral:lncRNA from 1 species